CCUACGGGUGGCAGCAGUGAGGAAUAUUGGUCAAUGGACGAGAGUCUGAACCAGCCAAGCAGCGUGAAUGAUGACUGCCCUAUGGGUUGUAAGCUUUUUUUAUAUGGGAAUAAAUUGUUCCACGUGUGGGGUUCUGUAUGUACCAUAUCAAUAAGGAUCGGCGAAUACCGCGACAGCAGCCGCGGUAAUACGGAGGAUCCGAGCGUUAUGCGGAUUUAGUGGGUUUAAAGGGAACGGCGGUGGAUUGUUAAGGCAGUUGUGAAAGUUUGGGGGUCAAACGUAAAAUUGCAGUUGAAACUGGCAGUCUUGAGUACAGUAGAGGAGGGCGGAAUUCAUGGGGUAGCGGUGAAAUGCUUAGAG
rnacentral:rRNA from 1 species